rnacentral:rRNA from 1 species
CGAGUGGCGAACGGGUGAGUAAUAUAUCGGAACGUACCCUAGAGUGGGGGAUAACGUAGCGAAAGUUACGCUAAUACCGCAUACGAUCUAAGGAUGAAAGUGGGGGAUCGCAAGACCUCAUGCUCGUGGAGCGGCCGAUAUCUGAUUAGCUAGUUGGUAGGGUAAAAGCCUACCAAGGCAUCGAUCAGUAGCUGGUCUGAGAGGACGACCAGCCACACUGGAACUGAGACACGGUCCAGACUCCUACGGGAGGCAGCAGUGGGGAAUUUUGGACAAUGGGCGAAAGCCUGAUCCAGCAAUGCCGCGUGAGUGAAGAAGGCCUUCGGGUUGUAAAGCUCUUUUGUCAGGGAAGAAACGGUGAGAGCUAAUAUCUCUUGCUAAUGACGGUACCUGAAGAAUAAGCACCGGCUAACUACGUGCCAGCAGCCGCGGUAAUACGUAGGGUGCAAGCGUUAAUCGGAAUUACUGGGCGUAAAGCGUGCGCAGGCGGUUUUGUAAGUCUGAUGUGAAAUCCCCGGGCUCAACCUGGGAAUUGCAUUGGAGACUGCAAGGCUAGAAUCUGGCAGAGGGGGGUAGAAUUCCACGUGUAGCAGUGAAAUGCGUAGAUAUGUGGAGGAACAC